UACGUAGGGGGCAAGCGUUGUUCGGAUUUACUGGGCGUAAAGGGCGCGUAGGCGGCAAAUUAAGUCAGCUGUGAAAUCUCCGAGCUUAACUCGGAACGGUCAGCUGAUACUGAUCUGCUAGAGUGCGGAAGGGGCAAUCGGAAUUCUUGGUGUAGCGGUGAAAUGCGUAGAUAUCAAGAGGAACACCUGAGGUGAAGACGGGUUGCUGGGCCGACACUGACGCUGAGUGCGCGAAAGCCAGGGGAGCAAACGGG
rnacentral:rRNA from 1 species